rnacentral:lncRNA from 1 species
AGGCUUCUCAAAACACCUGAUCAGGUUGCAAAGAGGGUUAACUAUAUCCUUAAAUCUGCCUUUUAAUCAGCAUAGCAUGGUAAAAUUGCAAAUUAAAACUGAGUGUUAUGACAUUCUAAUAGUUGGCUUCCCUAUGAAGAAGUGAGGCCCCAGACUCAUGUAUAGAGAGAUGUCACUGAUAAUCUGAAUUGAGAUGACUAGGUUGUUUACUGGGACUUCUUGGAAUGGUUGCCCAUCACUGCAUCCCCCAAAUGAAUGGUGUACCAGUUCUAGAACCUGAGUUAUGGAAUAAGCCUAGGAAUUAUAGGAUGCUUAGCUAAGACAAAAGGACUUGAUAUCUUGCCUUGUACAAAGGACAAGGCUGGAGC